ACGCUGGCGGCAGGCUUAACACAUGCAAGUCGAACGGUAACAGGAAUUAGCUUGCUAAUUUGCUGACGAGUGGCGGACGGGUGAGUAAUGCUUGGGAAUCUGGCUUAUGGAGGGGGAUAACUACGGGAAACUGUAGCUAAUACCGCGUAAAAUCUUCGGAUUAAAGGGUGGGACUUUCGAGCCACCUGCCAUAAGAUGAGCCCAAGUGGGAUUAGGUAGUUGGUUAGGUAAAGGCUGACCAAGCCGACGAUCUCUAGCUGGUCUGAGAGGAUGACCAGCCACACUGGAACUGAGACACGGUCCAGACUCCUACGGGAGGCAGCAGUGGGGAAUAUUGCACAAUGGGGGGAACCCUGAUGCAGCCAUGCCGCGUGAAUGAAGAAGGCCUUCGGGUUGUAAAGUUCUCUCGGUGACGAGGAAGGUUGAUAGGUUAAUAGCCUAUCAAAUUGACGUUAAUCACAGAAGAAGCACCGGCUAACUCCGUGCCAGCAGCCGCGGUAAUACGGGGGGUGCGAGCGUUAAUCGGAAUAACUGGGCGUAAAGGGCACGCAGGCGGUGACUUAAGUGAGAUGUGAAAGCCCCGAGCUUAACUUGGGAAUUGCAUUUCAUACUGGGUCGCUAGAGUACUUUAGGGAGGGGUAGAAUUCCACGUGUAGCGGUGAAAUGCGUAGAGAUGUGGAGGAAUACCGAAGGCGAAGGCAGCCCCUUGGGAAUGUACUGACGCUCAUGUGCGAAAGCGUGGGGAGCAAACAGGAUUAGAUACCCUGGUAGUCCACGCUGUAAACGAUGUCGAUUUGGGGAUUGGGCUUUGAGCUUGGUGCCCGUAGCUAACGUGAUAAAUCGACCGCCUGGGGAGUACGGCCGCAAGGUUAAAACUCAAAUGAAUUGACGGGGGCCCGCACAAGCGGUGGAGCAUGU
rnacentral:rRNA from 1 species